rnacentral:rRNA from 1 species
GGAGAGGUGAGUGGAAUUCCGAGUGUAGAGGUGAAAUUCGUNGAUAUUCGGAGGAACNCCGGUGGCGAAGGCGGCUCACUGGCCUGAUACUGACGCUGAGGCGCGAAAGCGUGGGGAGCAACAGGAUUAGAUACCCUGGUAGUNCACGNCGNAGACGANGAGUGCUAGCUGUUGGGUGGUUUACCAUUCNGUGGCGCAGCUAACGCAUUAAGCACUCCGCCUGGGGAGNACGGUCGCAAGAUUAAAACUNAAAGGAAUUGACGGGGGCCCGCACAAGCGGUGGAGCAUGUGGUUUAAUUCGAUGCAACGCGCAGAACCUUACCAGCCCUUGACAUGUAUAGGACGAUAUCANAGANGGUAUUUUCUUUNCNGAGACCUUUACCNNGUGCUGCANGGCUGUCGNCAGCUCGUGUCGUGNGANGUUGGGUNAAGUCCCGCAACNAGCGCAACCCCUGCCUCUANUUGCCAUCAAGUUUAGGUUUUUACCUAGAUGUUGGG